GACGAACGCUGGCGGCGUGCUUAACACAUGCAAGUCGAACGGAAAGGCCCUGCUUUUGUGGGGUGCUCGAGUGGCUAACGGGUGAGUAACACAUGAGUAACCUGCCCUUGACUUUGGGAUAACUUCAGGAAACUGGGGCUAAUACCGGAUAGUAGCUCCUGCUGCAUGGUGGGGGUUGGAAAGUUUCGUCGGUUGGGGAUGGACUCGCGGCUUAUAAGAUGGUUGGUGGGGGAGUAGCUGACCGAGGCUUUGACGGGUAGCCGGCCUGAGAGGGUGGCCGCGGACAGUGGGACUGAGAUACGGACCAGACUCGUACGGGAGGCAGCAGUGGGGAAUAUUGUACAAGGGGGGGAAGUGUGAUGCAGAAGCGCCGGGUGUGGAAUGACGGCCUUCGGGUUGUAAACCGCUUUCGCCUGUGACGAAGCGUGAGUGACGGUACUGGGUAAAGAAGCACCGGCUAACUACGUG
rnacentral:rRNA from 1 species